rnacentral:rRNA from 1 species
CCCUUAGAGUUUGAUCAUGGCUCAGAUUGAACGCUGGCGGCAUGCUUUACACAUGCAAGUCGAACGGCAGCACGGACUUCGGUCUGGUGGCGAGUGGCGAACGGGUGAGUAAUACAUCGGAACGUGCCCAGUUGUGGGGGAUAACUACUCGAAAGAGUAGCUAAUACCGCAUGAGAACUGAGGUUGAAAGCAGGGGAUCGUAAGACCUUGCGCAACUGGAGCGGCCGAUGGCAGAUUAGGUAGUUGGUGGGAUAAAAGCUUACCAAGCCGACGAUCUGUAGCUGGUCUGAGAGGGCGACCAGCCACACUGGGACUGAGACACGGCCCAGACUCCUACAGGAGGCAGCAGUGGGGAAUUUUGGACAAUGGGCGAAAGCCUGAUCCAGCAAUGCCGCGUGCAGGAUGAAGGCCUUCGGGUUGUAAACUGCUUUUGUACGGAACGAAAAGCUUCGGGUUAAUACCCUGGAGUCAUGACGGUACCGUAAGAAUAAGCACCGGCUAACUACGUGCCAGCAGCCGCGGUAAUACGUAGGGUGCAAGCGUUAAUCGGAAUUACUGGGCGUAAAGCGUGCGCAGGCGGUCUUGUAAGACAGAGGUGA